rnacentral:rRNA from 1 species
UACGGAGGGUGCAAGCGUUGUCCGGAUUUAUUGGGUUUAAAGGGUGCGUAGGCGGCUUUGUAAGUCAGUGGUGAAAUAUGGCAGCUUAACUGUCAGGGUGCCAUUGAUACUGCGGAGCUUGAGUACAGAUGAGGUAGGCGGAAUUGACGGUGUAGCGGUGAAAUGCUUAGAUAUCGUCAAGAACACCUAUAGCGAAGGCAGCUUACUAGGCUGUAACUGACGCUGAGGCACGAAAGUGUGGGGAUCAAACAGG